CCUCUCCGCGCCUCUUCCCAAAACCCACCUAGGCCCAUGCUACAAGACACCCGUGGAACAAAGCCAUGCUCAAUGAGAGCCAUCACAACACCCAACAUUGACAACCAGGCUAUAAUCAGGGAAACGGGUAGAUACAUUAGUAUGAUAACCUGGGCAGCUGCCCACAUAUAUAUUACAUGUUCUCACGCCACGGACCCUAAUAGCAGAUGAGACACACUGAUCCACAUAGGAGGGAAUUGAGUAGGUCACCAGGGGAUCUAGGAGAAGUGAUUGUCACACGAGGUACAAGUUAAAAUGUUGGAUAAUACUGG